rnacentral:lncRNA from 1 species
GUCGAUGAGGCACAAAUACCAGUGUCUGCAUUCCAGAAUGAUACAUCAUCUGCUGGUAAUGGGGGGAUUUUUGCAAUAGAUAUGUGGAAGUAGAUCUACGGGUUAAUUGCUCUAACAAGGAAUAUGACUGAUGAUGACGCAAUGCUUGAUAGAUAAUCGAAGCACAGAUUGUCGGAGGGGGACAGGUCUAGUGUCCGAACUGAUGUCGAGGAACCUAAGGUUGCAAGUUGGUAUGGUGAGGACAAUUGUGUAAGGUGAUAUGGGGGAUAAAUUCUGAUGGAAAGCCGAUUUUGAAGCAUGAAGAGCCAAAUGCAGGAGAGGUGACGAUUUUCUAUGACAAAUCCUGUCAUGUACCAACAUGGAUCUUAGCAAGUGAGUGUAACUAAGGGAUUAGCGUUAUUAAAUUCGAAAUGAAUCAUGGUAGCUUCAGUACUCACUGAGGUUGUCAUUUGCAGGAUAUGGUUCAAGCACAUGGUUCCAACAUUCGCUUUGCUGACGGGAGAGGACUACAUCAAGGAGUUUGGACAAUUACAUUAGUCUUGGUUAACAACUUAAACCGGUGAGCGCUAAGAUCAGUCUUCGUGUUUGCAUUCAUACUGCUUGUGAUUUUGACCCUAUGAUGGUGGAAUGUGCAGAUCCGACAUCACUAUCUCAGGAGGUCAAUUGCAUAUGAGGUGAUCUCGAUGAGAGGUAACAUGGGUGAGUUGCCAUGAGAGGUAACAUGGGUGAGUUGCCCAACUUCAUGAUCGAGAAAGUCUUCUUCUGAUGUGGGAGUGCUGAUCUGGUACCAUGUGGUUGCUUUUGGGUGGGACUUUUUUUUUGUGCGAGUGAAUUAAUGUGCUUCUAUUACUCAGUGAUAAGCUUUUGGUUGGAACCUGAAGCUGUGCCUACGGUUCGCGGGUACUUGUUACUUGUUAGCUUCCAUUCCAGUUUCUGAUGUGGUUGUGCUUGUAAUCCCAUUGUGUGGUAGCCUACCAUUAUGUAUGUGUUAAAUCUGAACCACUAUUUUGAGCCAGCUGUGACAUGUUAGCAUCCAUCCCGCUUGAGUAGUGUGGAAGUGCUUGUGGUCACACUGUGCCGAGACUUCAUGAACUAGUGUGUGUGAGACUAUGAUCUGAACAAGCGAUGCUGCAAUUACUAUUUGCUUGUGUUAGUACGUACCUACUUUUUAGCUAUGAAUAAAAAGAAUUUGCAUUAGUACUUGCGACGACAACUUGUGAUGCAUAGUGCGACCUGAAAAAGUUGUUCGCCAUGUCCGGCAGCGGUCAUGAUCUGUUUUUUU